rnacentral:pre_miRNA from 1 species
GCAAUAGGUAAUAAUAAUAUUGCUGCGGUUUAAAACCGCAGCAAUAUCUACAAAUAUUGCUGCGGUUUUUAAGCCAAACCGCAGCAAUAUUAUUAUGUAUUAUCUAUUU